rnacentral:rRNA from 1 species
UACGGAGGGGGCCAGCGUUGUUCGGAAUCAUUGGGCGUAAAGGGCGCGUAGGCGGCCGAUCAAGUCCGACGUGAAAUUCCCCGGCUCAACCGGGGGCCUGCGUCGGAUACUGCUCGGCUCGAGUCCCGGAGAGGGUAGUGGAAUUCCCAGUGUAGCGGUGAAAUGCGUAGAUACUGGGAGGAACACCGGUGGCGAAGGCGGCUACCUGGACGGGUACUGACGCUGAGGCGCGAAAGCUAGGGGAGCAAACAGG